ensembl:miRNA
CUGUAUUCUACAGUGCAUGUGUCUCCAGUGUUUCUAUGGCGACUGGGGAGGCAGCGCUGUUGGAAUAAC